rnacentral:rRNA from 1 species
GUGGGGAAUUUUGGACAAUGGGGGCAACCCUGAUCCAGCCAUGCCGCGUGCGGGAAGAAGGCCUUCGGGUUGUAAACCGCUUUUGUCAGGGAAGAAAUCCUUUGGGUUAAUACCUCGGAGGGAUGACGGUACCUGAAGAAUAAGCACCGGCUAACUACGUGCCAGCAGCCGCGGUAAUACGUAGGGUGCGAGCGUUAAUCGGAAUUACUGGGCGUAAAGCGUGCGCAGGCGGUUUUGUAAGAUCGAUGUGAAAUCCCCGGGCUCAACCUGGGAACUGCAUUGGUGACUGCAAGGCUGGAGUGCGGCAGAGGGGGAUGGAAUUCCGCGUGUAGCAGUGAAAUGCGUAGAUAUGCGGAGGAACACCGAUGGCGAAGGCAAUCCCCUGGGCCUGCAAUGACGCUCAUGCACGAAAGCGUGGGGAGCAAACAGGAUUAGAAACCCGUGUAGUCC